CAAGUUUGCGGAAACACAUUUUGAAAAUUCGUAUUAAACAGGAGAAAAUUACAUACCAUUUUAAUAAUAUGAAAGGGCUAUGCAGAGCUGUUAUAUUGAGGUGUAUACGAUGUGGGCCUACAUAGACAUGGUUUGUCAUAAGCCAUUACCAUAUUCAAAUUCGUAACUUGAAAUAAACGGUGAAUAAUGUUGCCGUUAUAUCGGAGCUGUGCGAAGACCUGGACCUGCAUAGACAAUUUUCCGUCACAGGCUGUAGCAUCCAUUUCGAACUUCAAAUACCACACCUCAAACAAUUUCGGUAAUGUCUACUACCUCUUAAUACGACUUUGUACUUCGAACAUAAUGGAAUAGGUAAGGACAUUUCCAAAGGAGUGACGUUUUCUAAAAGCCACCUGUUUAAGUUGGCCUUCAACUUCCCGAGUCCAGCCAAUCACGGAUGCUGAUUGACACAAUGGGUAUCUCCUCGGCAAACUUCCUUCGGAGGAGAACGUAGAGCGCAGAUGCCACCGGGCGGUGGUUGUUGUUGGUUAGCUCACUUUGAUACAUACGAGACUCUGCUUUCAUUGGAAAUAAUUGUAAAUGUAGUAGUAGUAACCGACAAUGAUCCUCGGCGAUCACUGCGAUCCUCUACGAUUGCAAGAACCUCUGCGUUCACUUGUCGUUUAGUUGUUGAAGUGUACUUUUCUCGCGCUCUAACACCUCGUUCACGGUUAUACUAAGCAGGCCUCUGACGCCGUCCCAAAUUA